UUCUCUUCCUUCCUCUUGGCAGAUAUUAGCGCCCAUAACACAUGUCAGGGGUAGAACAGUGAACAUGACAUGUUCUGUGGCCUCCCAGCGAGACCCACGUGGAGACAGCUGCCCCUGGAGACCCUCAGGGGUCUUCCUUUGGUUUUUUGGAGGUGGAGACUUCAGAUGGUAAUGAGACAUGGAACACGUGGGGAAGCAUGCAGAAGAGUGCAGGCACAGCUAAAACCCCACCUCUGUCCUGUGCUGGAACCAAGCUGACACUCUGGAUCAGUGCUGGGUCAUCCUUCUGGCUCCAACAGAAACUCUCUUUGCCCCCAAUAAAGAGCUUUGUUCCUAUGA